CUGAGGAUUCAAAUCCAUCUGUCAAACUCUUCAUCUGUUAAAGUCUUUAUUAUAAUGAUUUUCUAUCAAAUUGUAUUGACUACUAUGUUAAUAAAUAAAAACACCUCUAGAUCAAUUAUAAAUAUGACAGGAGAUUCUAUAGCUGGAGACAACUCUGACUCUAAAGUUCAGGGGUCAAACUAGUUGACAUGGUGGGGGGUCAGUCAGACUGACGCCAGGCUUUUACUUCCUAGUAAACAAACGUUGUCUCAUCAUCCAAUCAAAAGUCUCUUCUGUUCCCCGCAGUGAGAUCGAACAGGGUAGAAUAGAAGGAGAAACAGGAAGCUCCUCCCUACUGAUAAAUAACACGUUUACGGAUCUAUUGUCUUGAUAUAUGAUCAUCAUGUACAUGCAUACUGCUGGUGACCCAGUAAGGGUGACAUGGUACAGGGUGGGCGGGGUUUAGAGAUGGAGGGCGGGGUUAGAGACAGAGGGCAGGGUUAGAGAUAGAGGGCGGGUUUAGAGACAGAGGGCGGGGUUAGAGAUGGAGGGCGGGGUUUAGAGAUGGAGGGCGGGGUUAGAGAUGGAGGGCGGGGUUUAGAGAUGGAGGGUGGGGUUAGAGAUGGAGGGCGGGGUUUAGAGAUGGAGGGCGGGGUUAGAGAUGGAGGGCGGGUUUAGAGAUGGAGGGCGGGGUUAGAGAUGGAGGGCAGGGUUAGAGAUGGAGGGCAGGGUUAGAGAUGGAGGACGGGGUUAGAGAUGGAGGGCGGGUUUAGAGAUGGAGGGCGGGGUUAGAGAUGGAGGGCGGGGUUUAGAGAUGGAGGGCGGGGUUAGAGAUGGAGGGCGGGGUUAGAGAUGGAGGGCGGGGUUAGAGACGGAGGGCGGGGUUGACUCUGAUCUCUAGUCUCCUACAAUAUAGAGACUGACUGGGAUCCACCAGUCUGAUAUGGUCUCCUACUAUAAAGAGACUGACUGGUCUCCUCCUAUAUAGAAACUGACUGGUCUCCUACUAUAUAGAGACUGGCUGGGAUCUACUAUAUAGAGACAGACUGGGAUCUACCAGUCUGAUAUGGUCUAUUACUAUAUAGAGACUGACUGGGAUCUACUAUAUAGAGACUGACUGGGAUCUACUAUAUAGAGACUGGCUGGGAUCUACCAGUCUGAUAUGAUCUCCUACUAUAUAGAGACUGACUGGGAUCUACUAUAUAGAGACUGACUGGGAUCUACCAGUCUGAUAUGAUCUCCUACUAUAUAGAGACUGACUGGGAUCUACUAUAUAGAGACUGACUGGGAUCUACCAGUCUGAUAUGGUCUCCUACUAUAUAGAGACUGACUGGGAUCCACCAGUCUGAUAUGGUCUCCUACUAUAUAGAGACUGACUGGUCUCCUACUAUAUAGAGACUGACUGGAAUCUACUAUAUAGAGACUGACUGGGAUCCACUAUAUAGAGACUGACUGGGAUCUACCAGUCUGAUAUGGUCUCCUACUAUAUAGAGACUGGAUGGGAUCUACUAUAUAGAGACUGGCUGGGAUCUACUAUAUAGAGACUGACUGGGAUCUACCAGUCUGAUAUGGUCUAUUACUAUAUAGCGACUGACUGUGAUCUACCAGUCUGAUAUGGUCUCCUACUAUAUAGAGACUGACUGGGAUCCACUAUAUAGAGACUGACUGGGAUCUACUAUAUAGAGACUGACUGGGAUCCACUAUAUAGAGACUGACUGGGAUCCACUAUAUAGAGACUGACUGGGAUCUACUAUACAGAGACUGACUGGGACCUACCAGGCUGAUAUGAUCUCCUACUAUAUAGAGACUGACUCUGAUCUACUAUGUAGAGACUGGCUGGGAUCUACUAUAUAGAGACUGGCUGGCAUCUACUAGUCUGAUAUGAUCUCCUACUAUAUAGAGACUGACUGGGAUCCACCAGUCUGAUAUGGUCUCCUACUACCAUAUAGAGACUGACUGGGCUAGGGCUACAGGGGUCAGGGCUACAGAGAUCAGGGGUUAGGGAUACAGGGGUCAGGGGUUAGGGAUACAGGGGUCAGGGGUUAGGGAUACAGGGGUCAGGGGUUAGGGUUAUAGGGGUCAGGGAUACAGGGAUCAGGGGUUAGGGAUACAGGGGUCAGGGGUUAGGGAUACAGGGGUUAGGGAUACAGGGGUCAGGGGUUAACAUUAGUAUCGGGUAAGGUGAUAGUGAGGUGUGGUUGGUGUUUGGGGUUCCAUCUCUACAAGUUGAUAUGACCUGAGUACGGCGUUAGGCUGCUGGAGAGAGAUGCAUGAUACCGUCACAGCCCUGUGUGUAGCAGGUUAAAUAUAUAUACUGUAUGUAAAACAGGUGGACUACAGAUACACCUAGAUGUGUUGUAUCUACCCAACCCUCAGACAGGGCUGACUGGUAGACUCUGUGGAUAGGAGACACCCGUCAGUAAAGGGAUGGUUACUGUAACUAGGAACAACAUGAGUCACGUUGUAAAGGGACCGUUAGGAACAGACAUUACUGCACUUUGACUACAGGUGGAUUCGUUUGGUUGUCUGUAGAUAUCUACACUAACACAUCUCAUCCCUCCUCUCCUCCUCCUCUCC
ensembl:lncRNA